rnacentral:rRNA from 1 species
AUUGAACGCUGGCGGCAUGCCUUACACAUGCAAGUCAAACGGCAGCACGGGAGCAAUCCUGGUGGCGAGUGGCGAACGGGUGAGUAAUACAUCGGAACGUGCCCAGUCGUGGGGGAUAACUACUCGAAAGAGUAGCUAAUACCGCAUACGACCUGAGGGUGAAAGCGGGGGAUCGCAAGACCUCGCGCGAUUGGAGCGGCAGAUGUCAGAUUAGCUAGUUGGUGGGGUAAAGGCCUACCAAGGCUACGAUCUGUAGUUGGUCUGAGAGGACGACCAGCCACACUGGGACUGAGACACGGCCCAGACUCCUACGGGAGGCAGCAGUGGGGAAUUUUGGACAAUGGGCGCAAGCCUGAUCCAGCAAUGCCGCGUGCAGGAAGAAGGCCUUCGGGUUGUAAACUGCUUUUGUCAGGGAAGAAAUCCUCUGGGUUAAUACCUCGGGGGGAUGACGGUACCUGAAGAAUAAGCACCGGCUAACUACGUGCCAGCCGCCGCCGUAAUAC